AAAAAAAAAAGUGUUUUUUGUGGGUUUAUUUUGUGAGAAUGAUAUUUUCAGUCAAAAAACACAAAGUUAUAUUUGAGGCGAGAAGCCCCUAUAAAACUUAAUAUAAUUAAAAAUACAUAUAUAUAUAAUUAUAUUAAAUUGGGGAGAUUAAUAAAUAUAAAUAACUUUCAGUCGUUUUAUAUCAUUAAUUAGUGUUUUGUUGAAUUAAUAUAUUAAUUAUAAGAUUAAGUUACUUUAGGGAUAACAGCGUUAUUUAGUUGGAGAGUUCUUAUUAAUAACUAAGAUUGCGACCUCGAUGUGAAUAAGAUAU
rnacentral:rRNA from 1 species